CAGGGAUGACAGGCAUGCACCACCACGCCCAGUUUUAUAAAAAAUUUUUUGUAGAGAUUGGGUUUUGCCAUGUGGCUUAGACUGGUCUGAAACUCCUGAACUCAAGUGACCUGCCCACCCCAGCCUCCCAAAAUGUUGGGAUUACAGGCGUGAGCCACCACACCCGGCCUCCCCUACACCUAUCAUAACAAACCCUUUGUCUUCUUCAUAGUACUGAAUGCAGCCUGCACUUACUUGUGUCAUUUGCUUACUGUGUAUCUAUCUCCUCUGUACAGCAUAAGCCCCAGGGGCCAGGGUCUUUUUAAGUCUUGGCCUCCAUUGUAUCCCCAGCACUUGCCAUAGUGCUUGGUUAAUAACGGGUACAGAAGAAAUUUUUUUUUUUUAAUAAAUAAAUAAAUGAAUGAAAGGCAAUACUGAAAGGUGAGGAAGGGUUUGGUUCUAAAAUCAGACAAACCAGAGUUUGACUCAAUCCUCUGAGCUUGGCAGAUUUGUGAAACCUCUUGAAACAUAUAUUGUCAUCUGUGAAAGUGAGAUAAUAACAGUAUCUACCUCAAAGAGUUGUUGUGAGGAUUAAGUGAGAUAAAUUAUCUACCAUGCACAUAGUAACCCCUAAUGCAUCAUAGCUGCUAUUAUUACAGCCAUCAGUAUCAUCAUUCUCAGGCUGCUUCACAGGCCAUUGUCUAGCCUGUUGGGUGACAGACCUUGGAUCAGAUCCUACCACUUUUCCAAUCAGCUCAGGCUUGGCAGAUACAUGUAGCAAAAAGCUUGGCCGAAGAACUGAAUUUGACACUAGGGUUAAGGCAGGUACUGAGGGAUGGGAGACCCCUGGAAUCAUCAAGCUCUGGCCGUGGAAUCAGGACGAAGUGCUGCACGGAGGGGCCUUGCCCAAGGCUACGCAGCUGGUGGAUGGGGAAAUCAGGCGCUUGCCCACCGCCUCGCAGGCAGCUUUCCCUCUGAGGGAAGGUGGUGCCUCCGUCCUCUGAGGAGGUAGCUGGGAUAGCCUGAAAUGAGCUGCUGAAAGCCUGAAGCUCCAGAAAGACAAAAAACAAGCAAUACACAGUGAUGUGGGUGUCACUCGCUGAGGAUGUGCGAUAACACACACACUGCCCGGGUUGAAGUGAAAUGAAUAAUGCCAAUAACAUUGUGAGGGAAUGCUUCAGUGCCUGAAAUGUACAGUGCACGAAUGGUUCCCAAGAUUUGUCAUAUUUUAAUGCUAUUGCCUUAUGUUUGUUCGGUGCUUUCCAGUUUUGAAAGUGCUUUCACAUGUUUAAUCAUUUGCUCACAAUAAUUCUUCAAAGCAAAUAGGUAGAUAUGGGCGGAAUGACAUCUCCCCCUUCCCAAAUUCAUGUGUUGAAACUCUAAGCCCCAGUACUUCAGAAUGUGAUUGUAUUGGUGUGUCGGGAAUUGGUUGGUUCCUUUCAGUGGGUUCUUGGUCUCACUGACUUCAAGAAUUAAGCUGCGAAUGCCCACGGUAUUAAAGU
rnacentral:lncRNA from 1 species